rnacentral:rRNA from 1 species
AUUGAACGCUGGCGGCAGGCCUAACACAUGCAAGUCGAGCGGAUGAAGGGAGCUUGCUCUCUGAUUCAGCGGCGGACGGGUGAGUAAUGCCUAGGAAUCUGCCUGGUAGUGGGGGACAACGUUUCGAAAGGAACGCUAAUACCGCAUACGUCCUACGGGAGAAAGCAGGGGACCUUCGGGCCUUGCGCUAUCAGAUGAGCCUAGGUCGGAUUAGCUAGUAGGUGAGGUAAAGGCUCACCUAGGCGACGAUCCGUAACUGGUCUGAGAGGAUGAUCAGUCACACUGGAACUGAGACACGGUCCAGACUCCUACGGGAGGCAGCAGUGGGGAAUAUUGGACAAUGGGCGAAAGCCUGAUCCAGCCAUGCCGCGUGUGUGAAGAAGGUCUUCGGAUUGUAAAGCACUUUAAGUUGGGAGGAAGGGCAGUAAGUUAAUACCUUGCUGUUUUGACGUUACCAACAGAAUAAGCACCGGCUAACUUCGUGCCAGCAGCCGCCGUAAGAC